rnacentral:tRNA from 1 species
GCCACCUUAGCUCAGCGGUAGAGCAGCUGUUUUGUAAACAGCAGGUCGUCGGUCCGAAUCCGACAGGUGGCU